GCUUUACUGUUCCCUGGGACUGGCUUUGGGCCUUUCCUGCACAGCUUAGGUGGAAGGUGAAUAAGGCCCCUUUCCAGGGGGGUGGGCGAGCCAUCAGUGAGAUACCACUCUGGAAGAGCUCGGAUUCUAACCUUGUGUUAGACCCGUGGGCCAAGGGACAGUCUCAGGUAAACAGUUUCUAUGGGGUGUAGGCCUCCCAAAAGGUAAUGUAGGCAUGCAAAGGUUUCCUCGGGCCAGACGGACAUUGGUCCUCGAAUGCAAAGGCAGAAGGGAGCUUGACUGCAAGACUCACCCGUCGAGCAGAGACGAAAGUCGGCCUUAGUGAUCUGACAGUGCAUAUUAUCAUAUAGAAAUAAGCGAAGCAUAGCGAUUCGUACUACCGGAAAAGU
rnacentral:rRNA from 1 species